GUGCCAGCCGCCGCGGUAAUACGUAGGUGGCAAGCGUUGUCCGGAUUUAUUGGGCGUAAAGCGAGCGCAGGCGGUUUCUUAAGUCUGAUGUGAAAGCCUUCGGCUCAACCGAAGAAGUGCAUCGGAAACUGGGAAACUUGAGUGCAGAAGAGGACAGUGGAACUCCAUGUGUAGCGGUGAAAUGCGUAGAUAUAUGGAAGAACACCAGUGGCGAAGGCGGCUGUCUGGUCUGUAACUGACGCUGAGGCUCGAAAGCAUGGGUAGCAAACAGGAUUAGAUACCCUGGUAGUCCAUGCCGUAAACGAUGAGUGCUAGGUGUUGGAGGGUUUCCGCCCUUCAGUGCCGCAGCUAACGCAUUAAGCACUCCGCCUGGGGAGUACGACCGCAAGGUUGAAACUCAAAGGAAUUGACGGGGGCCCGCACAAGCGGUGGAGCAUGUGGUUUAAUUCGAAGCAACGCGAAGAACCUUACCAGGUCUUGACAUCCUUUGACCACUCUAGAGAUAGAGCUUUCCCUUCGGGGACAAAGUGACAGGUGGUGCAUGGUUGUCGUCAGCUCGUGUCGUGAGAUGUUGGGUUAAGUCCCGCAACGAGCGCAACCCUUAUUACUAGUUGCCAGCAUUUAGUUGGGCACUCUAGUGAGACUGCCGGUGACAAACCGGAGGAAGGUGGGGACGACGUCAAAUCAUCAUGCCCCUUAUGACCUGAGCUACACACGUGCUACAAUGGAUGGUACAACGAGUUGCGAGACCGCGAGGUUUAGCUAAUCUCUUAAAACCAUUCUCAGUUCGGAUUGUAGGCUGCAACUCGCCUACAUGAAGCCGGAAUCGCUAGUAAUCGCGGAUCAGCAUGCCGCGGUGAAUACGUUCCCGGGCCUUGUACACACCGCCCGU
rnacentral:rRNA from 1 species